ACCUCCUCCUCCUCCAGCAGAACCAGCAGCCCCAGUUACUCAACCUUCUAGACCUAGCUCAGCCAGUGGGAGCAAGGUCAAGAUGACCGACUACAUGAAGUUGGGUGCUCCUCAAUAUGAAAAAGGGGAUGACCCGUUUGUGUAUCUUGAGAGGGUCAAAGUGAUCACAGAUGAGAUUGGGGCUGAUGAUAGUAGAGCCAUUCAGAUGGCUGGGUUCACACUUAAGUGCAAGAAGGCACGAGAGUGGUUCAAGAGUUAUGUGAACCCGAAAGUGGAUAGCAUGUCUUGGGAGGAGUUUGCAAACGAGUUUGCAGGAUGGGCUUUCC
rnacentral:lncRNA from 1 species